UUUUUUUCAUAAAAGCAGAGAAAGCAUGCCCAUUCAUGAGGAAGCCUGUACCUAUGAUUAUAUUCUCCGUUAACUGAAGGCAUUUUAGAAUAUGAUAUCUGGUAUUUACUUCAGAAUAACAAAAAGAAAGGGCUGUGGGUGAUCCAGUUUUUGAUGAACAUGGUGAGGGGCGCAGACUUCUCAAACUCACCCUGCUUUAAUGCAGAAUUUGAUGUUUUCUAUAGGAAAAAAAAAUCCUGAAAUUUGCAUUUUGUGAUUAAAUCGGUGUGCUUAAAAAAAAAAAAACAAAAACAAAAAGAAGAGAAUAUGGUCAAAAUUCAAAAUUGAUGAAACUUUUUUGGGGGGGGGUUCGAGACAGGGUUUCUCUGUAUAGCUCUGGAACUCAUUUUGUAGACCAGGCUGGCCUCAAACUCAGAAAUCCGCCUGCCUCUGCCUCCCGAGUGCUGGGAUUAAAGGCGUGCGCCACCAGGGCUGGCUCCUGAUGAGACUUAAUAAUCCAUAGAAUCUUCAACACUCAGACAGCAGCAAAGGCAGGCAGAUCUCUGCGUUCAAGCCAAACCUAGUGUAUAAAUCAAAUUCCAGGAUAGCCAGAGCUACAUAAAGACCUCAGAAUAAAACAAACACACAGACACAUGUUCAACAAACUCCGCACAUAAAACAAGGAGAGUACCUAGAUAUAUCAUAUAAUUGACAUGUCAUAAACUUUAAAAAUCUAGUGAUAAAGCCAGGAGGCUCCUUCCCCCUCCCCUCCCCCCGGGUUCACUACAGGAACAGAACAGAGAGUAACAAUUCAGGCUGACUCUGAACUCACUAAAUAGCCUAUUCGAAUCUACACGUAUGUCUCCUCCCAAGUGCUGGUAUUAUAGUCACACAGCACCCUGGCUGGCUGCCUUCAUUUUCCUUCUUUUUCUUUUUAUUAUUGUUUUUGAGAAAGGGUCUUACAGAACCUUGACUGGCAUGGAGUGCCUACCUAGACCAGGCGAGCCUCAAACAGAGUCCCCUGCCUCUGCUCCUAUGGACUGGGAUUAAAGAAGUGUCCCUACCAUCACUGACCUUUUAAAAUUGUUUUGCUUUUGAGACUGGGUUUCUUUUUUGUAGCCCCGCUGUCCUGGAACUCCCUCUCUAAACCAGGCUGUCCUUAAACUCAGAGAGAUCUGUCUGGCUCUGCUUCCUGAGUGCUGGGAUUAAAGGCGUGCGCGACCAUGCCCGGCGAGACCCUGUCUUUUAAAAAAAAGUGUCUACCAUGACUGAAGCUUCUCAAAUGUGCUCUCUAGUGAACCCAGAUGAAUACACUAUGUG
rnacentral:lncRNA from 1 species